GCCAACUCCCUCUGCCUGGGAAGUGAAGAGGAAGAAUGAAUUGUUUUCUAGAGGAGAUGGUGCUGGUUGGAAAGAAAAUGUCCAAAGAGAUCGGUGGAUGUGGAGACUUGGUCUGGCACUUGUGAGCAACAGUGUCCUUCACCAAGGCAGAGAUGUAAAAGACUAUCAAAGAAAGACAGAGUUGAAAGACCAGUUCUUCAGGAAAUGUGUUCCUAGAUAGGGUUGGCGUAUUGGUCAGCAGACUGAGAGUGGAAGACCUAUCCUACUUGUGGAUGGCACUAAUCAAAAUGUUUGUCACCUGGAUGUAAUAAAAGAGAAAGAAGAAAAACAUGUGAAUGCUCCAUUCUGCUUCAUUCCCGAGAUAGAACCCAUAGCCUUCUCACUGAGCAACAUCUCCAAUACCUUUUAUUUUGACACAAGGUCUAGCGAAGCUACCCAGGCAGGCUUUGAACUUAUGAUCUUCCUGUGCCAGCCUCCAGAGAAGCUGGAAUUACAGAGGUGUAUCCAUGUCUGGCCCAGGCUUGCUCUUUUAUAACAACCCACUCUUGUGUGACUCACUCCUCAGGACCAGCAUUGAUCCCAUCUGAGGGCAGUACCCCAAUGACCUACCUACCUUUUGUUAGGCAUCAUUUCUUAAAGAGUCCAACAUCUCUCACAUCACCACACUAGAGACUAAACUUCCAGCACGUGAGCCUCUAGAGGUCAAACCACACCCAAACUAUAGAGCUAUCCAAAAAUAUACCUUAACAAACCAGAGCUGGAAAACUUGCUGAAGGUUUGACGAAGUAAGUGGUCAUGACAGAGAAACUCAGGUGUCAUGGAACUACCAGGUGGCCUCUAAGAACUCCAGAAAUUCCCUAGGAACUGCAGUGGCUCCUAGGAGAUGAAGACAUCCUUUAGCCAACAGCCCAUGGAAACUGAAGGGCCUCUAUUCUACAAAUACAAGGAAAAGAAUUCCACCAGUGACUCAUCAAUAGCCAGCUUGGACAUGAAUCCUUAAUGAAAGAAACUUUCCAAAGAGAAUGUAACCUAAUCCACACCUUGGUUCCAGCCCUGUGAGGGCAAUGGACUUAGCUAAAGCAAUGUCUAGAGAUAUAACUCUGACUAGGGUAAAACCUGAAACCAUGUAUUGUUCUAAUCUUCUAAGUGGAUUGUACCUUGUUGCACAGAAAAAAAAAAUCAAAUAUACACGUUGAACUGGAA
rnacentral:lncRNA from 1 species